GCUGGCGGCGUGCCUAAUACAUGCAAGUGGGACGCAAGGAAACACACUGUGCUUGCACACCGUGUUUUCUUGAGUCGCGAACGGGUGAGUAACGCGUAGGUAACCUGCCUAUUAGCGGGGGAUAACUAUUGGAAACGAUAGCUAAUACCGCAUAAUAUUAAUUAUUGCAAGAUAAUUGAUUGAAAGAUGCAAGCGCAUCACUAGUAGAUGGACCUGCGUUGUAUUAGCUAGUUGGUAAGGUAAGAGCUUACCAAGGCGACGAUACAUAGCCGACCUGAGAGGGUGAUCGGCCACACUGGGACUGAGACACGGCCCAGACUUCUACGGGAGGCAGCAGUAGGGAAUCUUCGGCAAUGGUCGAAAGUCUGACCGAGCAACGCCGCGUGAGUGAAGAAGGUUUUCGGAUCGUAAAGCUCUGUUGUAAGUCAAGAACGUGUGUGAGAGUGGAAAG
rnacentral:rRNA from 1 species